UACGUAGGAUCCAAGCGUUAUCCGGAAUUAUUGGGCGUAAAGGGUGCGUAGGCGGUUUGGUAAGUCUUAUGUGAAAUCUACAGGCUCAACUUGUAGUCUGCAUGAGAAACUGCCGGGCUUGAGUAUGGGAGAGGUGAGUGGAAUUCCUGGUGUAGCGGUGAAAUGCGUAGAGAUCCGGAAGAACACCGGUGGCGAAGGCGGUCUGCUGGGCCAAGACUGACGCUGAGGCGCGACAGCGUGGGGAGCAAACAGG
rnacentral:rRNA from 1 species